AUUGAACGCUGGCGGCAGGCCUAACACAUGCAAGUCGAGCGGCUGAAGGGUGCUUGCUUCUGGAUUCAGCGGCGGACUGGUGAGUAAUGCCUAGGAACCUCCCUAUUUGUUUUUUCUAACGUCCUGACAUGGGCGCUCUUACCCCAUUCCCCCUUAGGACCUACGUGGGGGAUCUUCGGACCUUCCGCUCUUAGAUGAGUCUAGGUCGGAUUAGCUAGUUGGUGGGGUAAAGGCCUACCAAGGCGACGAUCCGUAACUGGUCUGAGAGGAUGAUCAGUCACACUGGAACUGAGACACGGUCCAGACUCCUACGGGAGGCAGCAGUGGGGAAUAUUGGACAAUGGGCGAAAGCCUGAUCCAGCCAUGCCGCGUGUGUGAAGAAGGUCUUCGGAUUGUAAAGCACUUUAAGUGGGAAGGAAGAGCAGUAAGUUAAUACCUUGCUGUUUUGACGGUACCAAAAGAAUAAGCACCGGCUAACUUCGUG
rnacentral:rRNA from 1 species